GGUAUCAGUAGCUCAGUGGUAGAGCACCUUUUGCCGUUUUCACCUUUCGUUCAUAGCACUUUUCGAUUCGCGUCACCAGUUUAUAGUUAUCGACAAUUUUGUUGUCCUCGCUAUUCAAAAAUGGUCGUCCGGAUCCAGUUUUCAGCCUGGGCCGCAGUUAAUGGUUCUCGUGUGCCGUCAGUUCGAAUCUGACUUGAGUCG
rnacentral:tRNA from 1 species